rnacentral:rRNA from 1 species
AGUGUUGGAGGGUUUCCGCCCUUCAGUGCUGCAGCUAACGCAUUAAGCACUCCGCCUGGGGAGUACGACCGCAAGGUUGAAACUCAAAGGAAUUGACGGGGGCCCGCACAAGCGGUGGAGCAUGUGGUUUAAUUCGAAGCAACGCGAAGAACCUUACCAGGUCUUGACAUCCUUUGACCACUCUAGAGAUAGAGCUUCCCCUUCGGGGGCAAAGUGACAGGUGGUGCAUGGUUGUCGUCAGCUCGUGUCGUGAGAUGUUGGGUUAAGUCCCGCAACGAGCGCAACCCUUAUUGUUAGUUGCCAUCAUUCAGUUGGGCACUCUAGCAAGACUGCCGGUGACAAACCGGAGGAAGGUGGGGAUGACGUCAAAUCAUCAUGCCCCUUAUGACCUGGGCUACACACGUGCUACAAUGGGAAGUACAACGAGUCGCGAAGUCGCGAGGCUAAGCUAAUCUCUUAAAGCUUCUCUCAGUUCGGAUUGCAGGCUGCAACUCGCCUGCAUGAAGCCGGAAUCGCUAGUAAUCGCGGAUCAGCACGCCGCGGUGAAUACGUUCCCGGGCCUUGUACACACCGCCCGUCACACCACGAGAGUUUGUAACACCCGAAGUCGGUGAGGUAACCUUUUGGAGCCAGCCGCCUAAGGUGGGAUAGAUGAUUGGGGUGAAGUCGUAACAAGGUAGCCGUAUCGGAAGGUGCGGCUGGAUCACCUCCUUUCUAAGGAA